rnacentral:rRNA from 1 species
CCCUUAACUCUGGGAUAAGCCUGGGAAACUGGGUCUAAUACCGGAUAGGAGCGUCCACCGCAUGGUGGGUGUUGGAAAGAUUUAUCGGUUUUGGAUGGACUCGCGGCCUAUCAGCUUGUUGGUGAGGUAAUGGCUCACCAAGGCGACGACGGGUAGCCGGCCUGAGAGGGUGACCGGCCACACUGGGACUGAGACACGGCCCAGACUCCUACGGGAGGCAGCAGUGGGGAAUAUUGCACAAUGGGCGAAAGCCUGAUGCAGCGACGCCGCGUGAGGGAUGACGGCCUUCGGGUUGUAAACCUCUUUCAGUAGGGAAGAAGCGAAAGUGACGGUACCUGCAGAAGAAGCACCGGCUAACUACGUGCCAGCAGCCGCGGUAAUACGUAGGGUGCGAGCGUUAUCCGGAAUUAUUGGGCGUAAAGAGCUCGUAGGCGGUUUGUCGCGUCUGUCGUGAAAGUCCGGGGCUUAACCCCGGAUCUGCGGUGGGUACGGGCAGACUAGAGUGCAGUAGGGGAGACUGGAAUUCCUGGUGUAGCGGUGGAAUGCGCAGAUAUCAGGAGGAACACCGAUGGCGAAGGCAGGUCUCUGGGCUGUAACUGACGCUGAGGAGCGAAA